CCGGGAUAGCUCANUCGGUA
rnacentral:tRNA from 1 species